UGUCGACUGGUUUGAUGGUUCUUCCGAA
rnacentral:piRNA from 1 species